rnacentral:tRNA from 1 species
AUUUAUAUAGUUUAAAUAAAACAUUACAUUUUCACUGUAAAAACAAUACUUUUCAUAUUUAUAAAUG